CGCCGAACUUCCUGUCCGUCAUUUUGGCAGUACGUGGUGUUCUUGUUCUCGUUUGGAUACCCUUGCGCUCGCCUACAAAAAACGAAUUUAACGAAGAUAACGGUGUUUCUGUCCUUACCAGCAUACAACCAACGACUAUUUAAUUUAACAAACAUGGACCAAAUGGAAGAACCCGCUGGAUCGGAUAAUAAACGAGCUAUAGAGCGGAAAAGAAGUUGAAGAUGCCAAAGGAGGACUUCAGAGAGGACAAGCUUUCAACAUCAGCACCGUCCAUCACUUUGUCCCUUCCCUCUUCCCCUAAACAUCAGGCACAGGCACUGGUUUAGCCAGAGUCCUCACCCCAGUACUCCAUUCAAUCCAG